AAAGAAUUCGAUCAAUCCAAAAUAGAUUAAAGAAUUAGAACAAUGAGAGAGAAAGUUUGCAUAAAUCCAAAACAGAGAGAAAGUUGGCAUAGAAAAUAAUGGUCUGAAAUGAAUUGAUAUUUAUAGGCUGAGUUUUCAGCAAAUUGGCUCUAAGAUUGCCUGUUUUUAUGUUUCAAAUUUUAUUUUGGGCGGCAGUUUUGGAGCCAGAAUUAAUUGAAGCAGCUGUAUAAAGCAGAAUGUAUCAAUUUUACUGCAAUAAAUUAUAUUUACCCAUUGGAUAAAUUUUGUAGCCAAAUACUCAGUGGAUAAAAGCAAGCCUUGCACUGGUGGGAAAAAAA
rnacentral:lncRNA from 1 species